rnacentral:lncRNA from 1 species
GUGGCCUCUGGUUGCCUGGGUUCAAAUUCCAGCUCAGCCAUUCACUUUAUCACCAUGAGCAAAAAUCAAUAAAAACCUACUCCAGUGUCCUUGCUGUAUUAUGCUGGACUAUGCUAUUUCACAUUUAUUACUUCCAGCCCUUACAAUGACCUAUAAGGUAGGAUUUAUUAAUAUCCUCAUUUUACAGGUGGGAGAAUGAUUCACUUUCCCAAGGCCCUACAACUAACGCAAGAGAGCUGGGAUUCAAACCCAGGUCUAACUCCUAAAAUCUUUACUGCUCUUCCUCCUUACUUCCCAACUCCUGCUGUGAGCCUCAAAAAUGGAGGUGAGACUAACACCUUCCUCACAGGAUUACAGCAUCUACUUGACAUAAUGGGUGUAUGACCUGAAAUUUUAAGGUCAAAGUAUUUUUUAGAGAUGUAGCAUUGUUCUAAGGCUUCCAAAUAAACAGAUCAUUACGUUUCCCACGGUAGAGUGACAUUAGGAUAAAACCCCAGCUCACAAGCACCACUACAAUGAACCAGGAAGACCCCACCGUCAGCAAUAAACCAGUCUCCAUUACAUGUAAUUACACAAAAAACCAAGAGGCCAAAUUCAAGUCAUUCGUUAUGAAAUGCUUUUUUCUUUACAAAGUAAACAUGCAUAUUGACUCUUAUGGGUACACAUAUAUUCUUCAUUACAGAAACUCACUGAACUAAUGAAUGAAAUCAGCAAUCUUACUCUUAACUUCCUGUUACAACACAACUCCUGAGGUUUUUCCCCUAGCAACAUCAAGAAAUGCCAAGCUCAUCUCAAAAGUUAAGCUGAAUGGAAGGUUUACCUGGUUCCCACCAGCAGUCACUUAAUUCAGUUACGGGUUUUGAACUCAGGAUGAAAUAUAAACUUUUUUAAACAGACAAUCAUUAUACAUGUUUAUGGGGUACAAUGUGAUGUUUCGAUAUAUGUACGCAUUGCAGAAAGAUUAAUCAAACUUACAUAUCCAACACCUCACCUACUUACCCUUUUUUGUGGUGAAAAUGUUUAAAAUCUAGUCUUCUGGCUAUUUUGAAAUGUAUGGUCACCAUACUGUGCAACAGAUCUCUAAAAUGUCUGAAACCAACAUCUUUGACCAAUAUCUCCCUUUCCCUAUAUCUCCCCCUCCGACCUCUGCUAAUCAACAUUCUACUCUCUGCUUCUAUGAGUUCAACUUUUUAAAAUUCCACGUAUAAGUGAAGAUCAUGCGGUACUUGUUUUCUGUGUCUGGCUUAUUUCACUUAGCAUAAAAUCCUUCAGGUUCAUCCCUGUUAUCACAAUGGCAGGAUUUCCUUUUUAAAGGUUGUAUAGCAUUCCACUGUGUAUAUAUACAUUUUCUUUAGUAAUUGUUCCUAGCAUCCAAACAGCACUCAGAGUUUAGGUAAACACAAGAGUUUCAGCAUGAGGCUGUAUUAGCCUGGACUGACUUGGAGAGCGGGGCCAAAGGCAACUUGCAUGAAGGACCACAGGGCCUCCUGGGAAACAGCAACCAUGGGGGACAGAGGAGGAAGCAUCCCACCAGCUGGUUAAGAAUACUGAAUCAGGGCUGCAGCCCUUGUGGUGACCCCGCCCAAGGGCACUCCUGGCCUGCCAAGCCCAAAGCCCCUGCGCCAGAAACCUAAGGAGAAGAUGGUAAAACUGACAGAGUAGGCCAGGUACGGUGACUCACGCCUGUAAUCCCAGCACUUUGCGAGGCCGAGGUGGGCAGAUCACAAGGUCAGGAGUUCAAGACCAGCCUGAACAACAUGGUGAAACCCCAUCUCUACAAAAAUACAAAAAUUAGCCAGGCAUGAUGACGGGUACCAGUAAUCCCAGCUACUCAGGAGGCUGAGACGAGAGAAUUGCUUGAACCAGGGAGGCGGAGCUUGCAGUGAGCCGAGAUUGCACCACUGCACUCCAG